AUUCCUUUGGCCUUGGCUUCUCAAACAGCCUUAUCUAAUAACUGUCCUUGAAGUGAGCUGUUAAUCUUUGAUUAAACUGUGGAUCUAAAACAAAAAUAAAGAACAUUUUGGAGACAAUUAGGUAAAUCUGAAUAUGGGCUGUACAUCAAAUUACUGUAUUAUAGUUAGAUGGUAGAACUGUAAUUACAUAGAACAUGUCAUUAUUCACAAGAGAUAAAUGCUGAAGUGUUGGGGUAAAACACCAUGCUCUUUGCGUGAGCCACCUCGCCUGGCCUGUUUUAUACUUGACAUGAGAAAACUGUUAUAACUUCAGUCAAUUAUAAGUCAUUAUAAAAAAAUAUUUAACCUCUUUGAGAGGACAGGACAGAAAGAUCCUGACACGUUAUCAAAGCUUAGGGUAGGAUAAAUGUGCCAUCACAAAUGAAUGGGGAAGAGAGCAGGCCCUUCAGAAAAUGGUGUGGCAAAUGGUUACCCCUGACACAGAAAGCCCCUGGCCGUUCCCCAAACACUGCCCACAUGCCUCCCAGCAGCGCCUUUGCUGAUACUGUUUCUGCUUCCUGACACGCCCUCCUUCUCGCACGUCUAAGGCCUGGCACGGGCCCCAUCUCUUUUCGUAAAGCUUCAGCCAUACCUGCCUCAGAGGUAAAUUUCUGACCCCCAUGAUUCCCAGGCACAUUUUGGUGCUGCUGGUUGUACACAACACAAUCUGAAAUGUAAAUAGCUGGGACUACAAGAGUGCGCCACCACGCCUAGCUAAUUUUUGUAUUUUUAGUAGAGACGGGGUUUUCAUGGAGGAAGAAUGAACCUGGGCGCUCACACGGGCACCUUCAGGGGGCUGGUUCCCCGGAGGGUAAAACAGACACACAGAAAUGGAAUUUCAAGCAUACCAGGAUCAACAGGCAGAGUCCCAUGCCCCUGGGCCCUAAGAGGUUCAGGAGAACAAUCACAAGAGAGGGAAAGAGGAAAAGGACUAGAGCUAAAAAAGGAGCUCAUGAGUCAGACACCCUGUGGACCUCCACCAGUCCUGUAAUUUUGUAUUUUUAGGAGCGGUGGGGUUUCUCAAUGUCAGUCAGGCUGGUCUCAAACUCCUGGCACAGGUCUUCACUUGUUGACGUUAAAAAGCCAGAUGGUAAACAGUGGUUGAGACAAUGGCCCCGGUAUCUAGAAGACAUUCCUGGAAAGGCACAGGAUUUCUGUGCAACAUUUUCAAUUGUUUUUCUUUGACAAUUCCAAAUUCUUCUCAAGAAGAAGGCAUUUCUCUGUGUUCACAGCACAGACUCAGCUGCUGCCGGUCCAUCCUCCGUGGUGGAGAGGGAAGGCAAAUGGUGUUGGAUGCUAUGUCUUGGGAUUGGGUUCCACUGAACUUCUAAGACUUGCGGUGAUUAUCUCCUUAAAAUAAAAUUUCCUUUUCAGAGGAAAGAAGACGACUUUACCAUGUGAACCCCUGUGGCUUCCUCAGAGACUGUCUGCCCUGGCACAUGCUCCUCCAGGUCUUCCAGGUCACCUAGGAAACAGAGUCGCUAUAAGCACAUGAGCUCCACUGAGUGAAUCCCUCAGGUGGUCUUGGAGCUGUGGACACGGGGCUGGCGUGUGUGGAAAGGUGUG
rnacentral:lncRNA from 10 species